AGGCGCUGGCCGCCAUCUUGGCUGAGGGCGCGGGUGACCCGGGGACGCUGCGGCAAUUUGGGCGCGUCCCGAGAGCAGCGGGCAGAGCCCUGAAAACGGGGAACAGCGGGCGAGCGGGUGGCAGGGCUGUGAGAGCCGAGGCGCCCUGCUGCGAGACCUCAGGGACGUGUCCCAAAAUGGGGACGUGGGGACCACAGCAGAGCGGACGGACAGACCGAUGGGCACACGGACAGCCGGACGCCGAGCCCUGGCUGUGAGGGCUCUGCGGUGCCGGGUCCCCGCAGGCCCCUGACUGUGCCUCCGUGCUCCUUCAUUGCACGGCACCCCCGUGUCGGCACAGCCAGAAAUCCCUGCUCGGGCCCUCGGCAUCCAUGGCCGAUAAGUCAGUUCCGUCUGCGUCCCGAAUCCUGCCGCAAAAAUCCUCUGAAUCACCCUCCCGAGGCAAACCUGCUCUUCCUUCACCUGCCAAGGACGUUUGUCACCGUGACACGGCGCUCGGGUUGAUACCCGAGAUCUCUGGUCUAAAAGCUUUUCGAGCACUGCGUAAAGGCUGCGGUGAUAAAUGCUGGUUUGUGUGUGGGGAGCUGAGGCACAGAGCCGAGGGCAGCGGUGCCACCCCGGUGCCACCCCAUCGGUGCGGUGCCACCCCGGUGUCACCCGGAUCAGUGCUGUGUCACCCCGGUGUCACCCCGGUGCCACCCGAUCGGUGCGGUGCCACCCCGGUGUCACCCGGAUCAGUGCUGUGCUACCCCGGUGUCACCCGAUCGGUGCGGUGCCACCCCGGUGUCACCCGGAUCAGUGCUGUGUCACCCCGGUGUCACCCAGACCGGUGCGGUGCCACCCCUGUGUGUAACUGCUCUGCCCAAACCAUGCCAUUAAUAAUCAUUGCGGGAAUUCCUGCGCCGUCUUUCAUCCGAGCAUUCCAAAGCUCUGUACAAACACUCAGUAAUUAAGACUCAUAAAUUGUAAAUAAAAUAAAAGGUACACGGGGAUCUUCCAGGGAUGGAGGCGUCUCCUGGGCGGGAUGGUGCCGCUGAUCAACACCCUCCAGCAACUGCAUUUUCUCUUUUGAUAUUAUUUUUGUUAACUGGUGCUCUUUGAUACAGUUUUGUACACAUGCCCAGAGGCUGGCUGGGGCAUAAUGAACUAUUCUAUAUGGUUUCUGCAUAAUGAAUGGAAUUAUUUAAUUGGCACAUAACCUCAGAGACUGCUAAUAGACUAAAACAUUCUGAAGAUGAGCAAAUUGGAAAGAAUGGGAUGACUCAGGGAACACUAAAUUAACAUCUUCUGCCAAAAAUUUUGCACCCAGUCCUCUCGGGUUUCAGGGUGUACAUGGGGGUUGAACAAGAAUGCAACGGUUUACACAAGAGUUUGACAUUAAGUGCCUUCCUGGACUGAAAUUUCCACUCAUUUUUGAGAAUUCAGGAGAGCUGAAGCUCCAAUCCAGAGUUGCUCAUUCAGCCUCGGAUCUGAACUGGAAGUGUGAGCGACAGCAGGUGCUGGAGUCUUUAACAGAACAUGACAGUUUAAUUACCUGAGCAAUCAGUUAAAUAUGACCUCAGGACAUGGGUUGGCCAAUGCCAGAGAAGCUGAGGGACUCCUCCCUAAAUUAAAAUAUUAAAAUAAAAAAGCUGUCUCAGUGCUUGAUUUUUUCCUCUCCACAGCUUGAAAAAUAAGUAAACUUUAAUAUUUGAAAAUAUCUGAAUGGAAUGCUCUUGUUUGGACAGAUACAAUAAAGCAGAAAUUUUUGUUGUCUUUGAUAAUUAAUCACAGGACACUGCUCUGCUCAGUUACAGCACAAAACCACAAAUGUAACAAAUGUUAGAGGCCAUUCCCAUCUCUCCCAUCUUUGGAUUUAUUUAUUUAUUUAUUUAUUUAUUCCCACGAUGUUGGGAUUCUCUCUCAUAUAUAGAAUUCUCACUAUGGGUGUACAAAUACCAAAAAUGAUAUGAGUAAGAGAUCUUACUGAGAUCUUACUCUGGAAUAAAGAGUAAUGUCCUAAACACAUCAGGAGCCAAAGAUGUCUUUGCACAGUGCCUUCAUUCAGAGACUUGUAUUUUUCUCUUUUUUUUUUUUUUUUUUUUUUUUUUUUUUUUUUUUUGGGGGGGGGGGGGGGGGGGGGGGGGGGGGGGGGGGGGGGGGGGGGGUUUUUUUUUUUUUUUUUUUUUUUUUUUUUUUUUUUUUUUUUUAAUGGGGAAACAAGUGUCUGCAUGCACACACAAAACUCCUGGCAAAUUUGGCUGUGGCUGACCUCAGCCCAUGAGCCCUCAUGGGAACGGGAGGGUUGGUACCUGUGCUGAGCAUUUCAAAGAAGGGAAUUCUCCCACGUCCCAGCCUGGCAAAAAUUCUCUGCUUUUACUGAAACACUGCAAUCCCUCCCUGUCUCCUUCCACUAAGCACAUUCCCAGGGAGGGAGGUUUGUUCCUCCUGGGCACGAGCAAGGGGUGAAGAGUCUCUGCCUGACUCAGUGAGUGAGUUAAAAGUCGAGGUUUGAAGUGUAAAUUUGGGGUAAAAAAAAAAAAAAAUUAAAAAAAGGUUCACUCCCAGCAGAAAGAGCUGUGCUGGUGACCUGCUGCUGCUGCUGUGCUGGACAGCAGAGCUCCGGGAAGCAGCCCUGAGCAGGAGAAAGCAGAAAAUCCCCCACUCCACGUCCUGAGCUUUUCCCAGCGCUGCCGCGGGCUGAUCCUGUGGAUCUAGAUCGGAAGAGCGGCACUCCACGUCCUGAGCUUUUCCCAGCGCUGCCGCGGGCUGAUCCUGUGGAUCUGCAGGGCUUCGGAGCCACUCCGGAAAGAUUCUGAAUUAGUGACAGCGGACGGACUCGCUGGCACCUCCACUCUGCCCAGAUGGCAUCGCCAGCACUGAGGGACUCACCUCAGAUGACCUUUCUCCAAUCCACAGUGUUUUCCCCAAGUUCAUUGGCGUCAUAAAUACUUGAAAAAUAAUAAUCUAGUUCAACACCAUCUUCUGUUUCUCCGUUCUUCUUUUUUCCCCCACCUUUUGCUUUUCUAAAUGCCUCAAGGAGUACAAGAAGCAAUGCAGCACAUGUUUCUUCAAACCAGGAAUAUGGGGGGGAAAACCAAGGCUGGGUGUGAUUUAGUCCCUUCAGAACAUUCCUGAAGUCACAGGACGAGCAGCAUCAGUGACAUUUCUAAAAGCGGGACUCAGACACAGCCGCACGAAGCCAAAACGCUGCAUCCGGACAGGACCGCGGCGCGUUGCCGGGGGCUUUGCCCGUGAGCUGGGCUGCAGGAGCGGAUGAUUUCCCAUCGCUGCUCAGCACUCCGGGCGCGCACCAGGAGAGGGUGCCAAGCCUCCGGCUUCUGCUGCCGGGAUCCGCACGGGCUUCCCAGGUCUGGGAGCCCUCUCCAAGCUCUUCGCUUAAAAUAUCAACAAAUGCACCCUGGAUCUAAAGGAAAACCUAUUCUUUUUUUUUUUUUUUUUUUUUUUUUUUUUUUUUUUUUUUUUUUUUCGGGGGGGGGGGGGGGGGGGGGGGGGGGGGGGGGGGGGGGGGGGGGGGGGGGGGGGGGGGGGGGGGGGGGGGGGGGGGGGGGGGGGGGGGGGGGGGGGGGGGGGGGGGGGGGGGGGGGG
rnacentral:lncRNA from 1 species